rnacentral:rRNA from 1 species
UACGUAGGGCGCAAGCGUUGUCCGGAAUUACUGGGCGUAAAGCGUGUGUAGGCGGCUUGGUAAGUCGGAUGUGAAAGCCCUGGGCUUAACCCAGGAAGUGCAUCCGAUACUGUCAAGCUUGAGUCCGGAAGGGGGUGGCGGAAUUCCCAGUGUAGAGGUGAAAUUCGUAGAUAUUGGGAAGAACACCGGUGGCGAAGGCGACCUUCUGGACGGUGACUGACGCUGAGACG